GCGAGUGAGCGGCAGAGCUCAAUUUGAAUCGUGCUUUGCGGCGUAGUUGUAGAUUGCAGGUUGGAUCUGUGUGGAAGGCGGUGUCCUCUUCCCUUGGAACAAGGCGACCACGAGGGUGAGAACCACCCGGGAUGCCGGCAGACCCAUUGAGGCCCUUCGGACUAUUCAAGAUGUUUGGUAAUGGGGAUCCCAGCGGGUGGUGAAUUCCAUCUUCCGCUAAAUACUGGCUAUAGACCGAUAGACCAACAAGUACUGUGAACGAUGAUGAAAAGCACUUUGAAAAGAGAGUGAAACAGCACGUGAAAUUGUUGAAAGGGAAGGGUAUUGCGCCCGACAUGGGGAUUGCGCACCGCUGCCUCUCGUGGGCGGCGCUCUUGGCUUUCCCUGGGCCACCGUCCCUUCUUGCUGCCGGAUAACGGGUUCUGGAACGUGGCUCUUCGGAUUGUUAUAGCCGGGCCAGAUGCUGCGUGCGGGGACCGAGGACUGCGGCCGUGUAUGUCACGGAUGCUGGCAGAACGGC
rnacentral:rRNA from 1 species